GAUGAACGCUGGCGGCGUGCCUAACACAUGCAAGUCGAGCGAACAGACGAGGAGCUUGCUUCUCUUCCGUUAGCGGCGGAUGGGUGAGUCCCACGUGGCUACCUUACCUAUAAGACUGAGAUCACUUCGGGAAACCUGAUCCCAUAUCGGAUAAUAUAUUGAACCGCAUGGUUCUUCAGUCAUCGCCGUUUCUGCUGUCACUUAUUCAUGUUUCCUCGCCGCAUUAGCUAGUUGGUACGGUAACAGCUUACCAAGGCAACGAUGCGUAGCCGACCUGAGAGGAUGAUCAGCCACACUGGAACUGAGACACGGUCCAGAAUCCUACGGGAGGCAGCAGUAGGGAAUAUUGGGCAAUGGGCGAAAGCCUGACGGAGCAACGCCGCGUGAGUGAAGAAGGUCUUCGGAUCGUAAAGCUCUGUUAUUAGGGAAGAAGAGAAGUGAAAGAAACUAUGGACGUCUUGACGGUACCAAAUGAGAAAGCCACGGCUAACUACGUG
rnacentral:rRNA from 1 species